CCCUAUGGGGCGCAAAGAAAGAUCGACGACGUUGAGCUUUCUCGCUAUGCCUGUUAUUUGAUUGUUCAAAAUGCCGACCCUUCUAAGCCCAUUGUUGCUCUUGGACAGACUUAUUUUGCGGUCCAGACCCGAAAGCAAGAGCUCAAGGAAGAGGCGGAUUAUCAAAAUCUCAAGACCGAAGAUGAACGGCGUUUAUUCUUGCGGCAGCAGCUAAAGGUUCAGAACAAACAGUUGGCGAGCGCGGCUAAAAAUGCCGGGGUUCUUGUGCCGCUUGAUUAUGCCAUCUUUCAGGAUCAUGGUUACAAAGGACUUUACGGCGGACUAGCCUCGUUUGAUAUUCACCGGCGAAAAAAUUUAAAAAAAGGCCAGCAGAUUUUGGAUCACAUGGGCAGCACGGAAUUGGCGGGAGGGC
rnacentral:rRNA from 1 species